rnacentral:rRNA from 1 species
GACGAACGCUGGCGGCGUGCUUAACACAUGCAAGUCGAACGGAAAGGCCCUGCUUUUGUGGGGUGCUCGAGUGGCGAACGGGUGAGUAACACGUGAGUAACCUGCCCUUGACUUUGGGAUAACUUCAGGAAACUGGGGCUAAUACCCGAUAGGAGCCCCUGCUGCAUGGGGGGGGUUGGAAAGUUUCGGCGGUUGGGGAUGGACUCGCGGCUUAUCAGCUUGUUGGUGGGGUAGUGGCUUACCAAGGCUUUGACGGGUAGCCGGCCUGAGAGGGUGACCGGCCACAUUGGGACUGAGAUACGGCCCAGACUCCUACGGGAGGCAGCAGUGGGGAAUAUUGCACAAUGGGCGGAAGCCUGAUGCAGCAACGCCGCGUGCGGGAUGACGGCCUUCGGGUUGUAAACCGCUUUCGCCUGUGACGAAGCGUGAGUGACGGUAAUGGGUAAAGAAGCACCGGCUAACUACGUG